UGCAGUCGAGCGCACUCUUCGGAGUGAGCGGCGGACGGGUUAGUAACGCGUGGGAACGUACCCAGAUCUAAGGAAUAGCCACUGGAAACGGUGAGUAAUACCUUAUACGCCCUUCGGGGGAAAGAUUUAUCGGAUUUGGAUCGGCCCGCGUUAGAUUAGGUAGUUGGUGGGGUAAUGGCCUACCAAGCCUACGAUCUAUAGCUGGUUUUAGAGGAUGAUCAGCAACACUGGGACUGAGACACGGCCCAGACUCCUACGGGAGGCAGCAGUGGGGAAUCUUANACAAUGGGCGCAAGCCUGAUCUAGCCAUGCCGCGUGAGUGAUGAAGGCCUUAGGGUCGUAAAGCUCUUUCGCCUGUGAUGAUAAUGACAGUAGCAGGUAAAGAAACCCCGGCUAACUCCGUGCCAGCAGCCGCGGUAAUACGGAGGGGGUUAGCGUUGUUCGGAAUUACUGGGCGUAAAGCGCACGUAGGCGGAUUAGAAAGUUAGGGGUGAAAUCCCGGGGCUCAACCUCGGAACUGCCUCUAAAACUCCUAGUCUAGAGUUCGAGAGAGGUGAGUGGAAUUCCAAGUGUAGAGGUGAAAUUCGUAGAUAUUUGGAGGAACACCAGUGGCGAGGGCGGCUCACUGGCUCGAUACUGACGCUGAGGUGCGAAAGUGUGGGGAGCAAACAGGAUUAGAUACCCUGGUAGUCCACACCGUAAACGAUGAAUGCCAGUCGUCGGCAAGUAUACUUGUCGGUGACACACCUAACGGAUUAAGCAUUCCGCCUGGGGAGUACG
rnacentral:rRNA from 1 species